rnacentral:rRNA from 1 species
CGGAGCUUGCUCCACCGGAAAAAGAAGAGUGGCGAACGGGUGAGUAACACGUGGGUAACCUGCCCAUCAGAAGGGGAUAACACUUGGAAACAGGUGCUAAUACCGUAUAACAAUCGAAACCGCAUGGUUUUGAUUUGAAAGGCGCUUUCGGGUGUCGCUGAUGGAUGGACCCGCGGUGCAUUAGCUAGUUGGUGAGGUAACGGCUCACCAAGGCCACGAUGCAUAGCCGACCUGAGAGGGUGAUCGGCCACAUUGGGACUGAGACACGGCCCAAACUCCUACGGGAGGCAGCAGUAGGGAAUCUUCGGCAAUGGACGAAAGUCUGACCGAGCAACGCCGCGUGAGUGAAGAAGGUUUUCGGAUCGUAAAACUCUGUUGUUAGAGAAGAACAAGGAUGAGAGUAACUGUUCAUCCCUUGACGGUAUCUAACCAGAAAGCCACGGCUAACUACGUGCCAGCAGCCGCGGUAAUACGUAGGUGGCAAGCGUUGUCCGGAUUUAUUGGGCGUAAAGCGAGCGCAGGCGGUUUCUUAAGUCUGAUGUGAAAGCCCCCGGCUCAACCGGGGAGGGUCAUUGGAAACUGGGAGACUUGAGUGCAGAAGAGGAGAGUGGAAUUCCAUGUGUAGCGGUGAAAUGCGUAGAUAUAUGGAGGAACACCAGUGGCGAAGGCGGCUCUCUGGUCUGUAACUGACGCUGAGGCUCGAAAGCGUGGGGAGCAAACAGGAUUAGAUACCCUGGUAGUCCACGCCGUAAACGAUGAGUGCUAAGUGUUGGAGGGUUUCCGCCCUUCAGUGCUGCAGCUAACGCAUUAAGCACUCCGCCUGGGGAGUACGACCGCAAGGUUGAAACUCAAAGGAAUUGACGGGGGCCCGCACAAGCGGUGGAGCAUGUGGUUUAAUUCGAAGCAACGCGAAGAACCUUACCAGGUCUUGACAUCCUUUGACCACUCUAGAGAUAGAGCUUCCCCUUCGGGGGCAAAGUGACAGGUGGUGCAUGGUUGUCGUCAGCUCGUGUCGUGAGAUGUUGGGUUAAGUCCCGCAACGAGCGCAACCCUUAUUGUUAGUUGCCAUCAUUUAGUUGGGCACUCUAGCAAGACUGCCGGUGACAAACCGGAGGAAGGUGGGGAUGACGUCAAAUCAUCAUGCCCCUUAUGACCUGGGCUACACACGUGCUACAAUGGGAAGUACAACGAGUCGCGAAGUCGCGAGGCUAAGCUAAUCUCUUAAAGCUUCUCUCAGUUCGGAUUGUAGGCUGCAACUCGCCUACAUGAAGCCGGAAUCGCUAGUAAUCGCGGAUCAGCACGCCGCGGUGAAUACGUUCCCGGGCCUUGUACACACCGCCCGUCACACCACGAGAGUUUUAACACCCGAAGUCGGUGAGGUAACCUUUGAGCCACCGCU